rnacentral:rRNA from 1 species
GAAAGUAAUUUAAGAGCAAAUGGGGGAUGCCUUGGCUCUUGGAGGCGACGAAGGACGUGGUAAGCUGCGAAAAGCUGUGGGGAUUUGCAAACGAGAUUUGAUCCACAGAUAUCCGAAUGGGGCAACCCGUGUAGCUGGAGGCUACACACUCUGCGUAAGUGGAGAGCUAACCCUCUGAACUGAAACAUCUUAGUAGGAGGAGGAAGAGAAAGAAACAUCGAUUUCCAGAGUAGCGGCGAGCGAAAUGGAAUUAGCCCAAACCCGAUGUGUUGCGGCACGUUGGGGGUUGUAGGACUGCAAUAUGAAGCUGAGAUUGAACCGGAAUUUAACUGGAAAGUUGAGCCGUAGCGUGUGAUAGCCACGUACGGGUAAGAGAACAGUGGAUAGCAUCAUCCUGAGUAUGGCGGGACACGAGGAAUCCUGUCAGAAUCUACGGGGACCACCCCGUAAGGCUAAAUACUACCGAGAGACCGAUAGUGGACCAGUACCGUGAGGGAAAGGUGAAAAGAACCCCGAACAGGGGAGUGCAAUAGAACCUGAAACCAUUUGCUUACAAUCUGAUGGAGGGACUUCGUGUCCUGACAUCGUGCCUUUUGCAUAAUGAGCCUACGAGUUACUAAUCACUAGCGAGGUUAAGAGACGGAUAGUUUCGGAGCCGAAGCGAAAGCGAGUCUGAAUAGGGCAUAUAGUUAGUGGUUGUAGACGCGAAACCUUGCGAUCUACCCUUGACCAAGUUGAAGGUCGGGUAACACCGACUGGAGGACUGAACCAGUUAGCGUUGAAAAGCUUUUGGAUGAGUUGAGGGUAGGGGUGAAAGGCUAAUCAAGCUGGGAAAUAGCUCGUACUCCCCGAAAUGCUUUUAGGAGCAGCGUUGCAAUGGAGAGUUUACCGGAGGUAGAGCUACUGAUUGGAUGCGGGGGCUUCACCGCCUACCAAAUCCUGACAAACUCCGAAUGCCGGUAAUAUGAUUUGCAGCAGUGAGCGGCUGGGUGCUAAUGUCCAGCCACGAGAGAGGAACAACUCAGACCAACAGAUAAGGUCCCGAAGAAUACACUAAGUUGCGUUAACGAUGUGCGACUGCCUUGACAGCUAGGAUGUUAGCUUGGAAGCAGCUAUUCAUUUAAAGAGUGCGUAACAGCUCACUAGUCGAGCGGUUGUGCGUGGAUAAUAAACGGGCAUCAAGGACUACGAUGUAGUGGUAGGGGAGCAUUCCAUUCGGCGUUGAAGCAGUUCCGUGAGGAAUUGUGGAGCGUAUGGAAAAGCAGAUGUAGGCAUAAGUAACGAUAAGGCGGGUGUGAAACCCGCCCACCGCAAGACCAAGGUUUCCUGAUCAACGUUAAUCGGAUCAGGGUUAGUCGGGGCCUAAGGGGUAGCCGAAGGGCGAACUCGAUGGACAAUCGGUUAAUAUUCCGAUACUAAUUUGGAGUGCGAAUAGAUGACGGAGAGACGUAAGCAUUGCCGCCUGACGGAAUAGGUGGUUAAAGUCGUAAGAUGAUAGUACCACGAGGCUUCGGCUGAGUGGAUAAUGUGCCCAAGUGAACUUCCAAGAAAAGUCUAUGAAGCAUCAGCUCUAAAUUACCCGUACCAUAAACCGACACAGGUGGUCGAGGAGAGUAUCCUAAGGUGCUCGAGUGAAUCACGGUUAAGGAACUAGGCAAAUUGACCCCGUAACUUAGGGAUAAGGGGUCCCUCGUGAGAGGGCGCAGCGAAGAGGUCCAGGCGACUGUUUAGCAAAAACACAGGACUCUGCUAAUUCGAAAGAAGACGUAUAGGGUCUGACACCUGCCCGGUGCUGGAAGGUUAAGAGGGGAUGUCAUCCGUAAGGUGCAGCAUUGAAUCGAAGCCCCAGUAAACGGCGGCCGUAACUAUAACGGUCCUAAGGUAGCGAAAUUCCUUGUCGGGUAAGUUCCGACCUGCACGAAUGGU